UAACGAUUUAACAUCUUCAGAACUUCGGGAGUUGAUGGCUUAGAUCUAGCCAUACGAUCGGUAUGAGCCCGAUGACCUCCUCGAAAAUGGAUCGAGGAUAAAGUCCGAAGAUGAAGUCUGAGGAUAGAAGUCGAGGUGGAGUAAUCCCAUAAUAUUUGGCCCCCCACUUCCGAGUUUGAGAUGGCUGCCUUGGGUGAAGAAAGUAGCAGUCUUUGGGACA
rnacentral:lncRNA from 1 species